AUCCCAGGGCUAAAGUGCUUGCAGUGCAGGUAGCUGGCGCUGGCGCUACUGCAGUGUGGGGGCUUGCAGCUCUGGGGA
rnacentral:pre_miRNA from 1 species